GUGUGUGGACCUGUGACUCUACAUGAAUGACUCAAGUGAAGAAACACGAGUGAAACCACUAUUUCAAAGGAAAAAGAAGAGGAAGAGGGGACAUCUUGAACAUUCGCAGUGGAACUUGAGUGCGCAUCUGCGCAAAGUCUCUCCAAAGUCACUUGGUAACUUGCGCGCACCACUGCAGCUCCAUUCUCAAGCAGUUUUGGGGGUCACGGCGAGGAGAGACUGUCGUCCGGCAGAAUGGCGUCAGACGUGGGCCGCAGCACUUGAGGUCACGAAGCCAUGACUUUGUUGCUGUGAGAAACACGCAUUGCCUGUACUGACAUUGGGAACUUAUGCAAAUAAAUAAAUAAACCAGGUCUUCCUUGUGAAUUAC
ensembl:lncRNA